rnacentral:rRNA from 1 species
GAUGAACGCUGGCGGCGUGCCUAAUACAUGCAAGUCGAGCGAACAGAUGAGGAGCUUGCUCCUCUGACGUUAGCGGCGGACGGGUGAGUAACACGUGGAUAACCUACCUAUAAGACUGGGAUAACUACGGGAAACCGGAGCUAAUACCGGAUAAUAUAUUGAACCGCAUGGUUCAAUAGUGAAAGACGGUUUUGCUGUCACUUAUAGAUGGAUCCGCGCCGCAUUAGCUAGUUGGUAAGGUAACGGCUUACCAAGGCAACGAUGCGUAGCCGACCUGAGAGGGUGAUCGGCCACACUGGAACUGAGACACGGUCCAGACUCCUACGGGAGGCAGCAGUAGGGAAUCUUCCGCAAUGGGCGAAAGCCUGACGGAGCAACGCCGCGUGAGUGAUGAAGGUCUUCGGAUCGUAAAACUCUGUUAUUAGGGAAGAACAAAUGUGUAAGUAACAAUGCACGUCUUGACGGUACCUAAUCAGAAAGCCACGGCUAACUACGUG